rnacentral:rRNA from 1 species
UACAGAGGGCUCAAGCGUUGUUCGGAUUCAUUGGGCGUAAAGGGUGCGUAGGCGGCGCGGUAAGUCGGGUGUGAAAUCUCGGAGCUUAACUCCGAAACUGCAUUCGAUACUGCCGUGCUUGAGGACUGGAGAGGAGACUGGAAUUUACGGUGUAGCGGUGAAAUGCGUAGAUAUCGUAAGGAAGACCAGUGGCGAAGGCGGGUCUCUGGACAGUACCUGACGCUGAGGCACGAAGGUCAGGGGAGCAAACGGG